CCAUUGCGGAUGCUCUAAGCACUAGACUUGAAAAGAAAAAAACAAACCAACAAAUGCAGAUCAAAAAAUUCCUGAUUAUAUUAUUUUACUUCAAUUUUAUCAAAAAAUACUAGUGGAUGUUUUCUUUCAAAAACAAAAUUUCACUACCCUUGCGGUCAGGCUAGGCCUUGGGCAUAGACUCACCAGCGCCUAGGGCCUCCGGUUUUGGACCCAACUAGUUGAAUAUAUUAAAUAUUAUGUAUAUAAACUAUUUCACAACUAGGCUAAUGUAGCACAGUGGUACAAUGCGCGUGUUUUGAGCAUGGUAUUGCAAGUUUGGUCCCUGAUCCCUUCAAUUUUUAAUGCAACAAUUUUGGAACUUGUAUAAAAAAAAAGGUUUUGAAACGAUGCUUUUGAGGAUUGAACUCACGAUCUAAGGUUUUAAAGAGGUGGUACAACCAUUUUGCCAACAAGGCUAGCUUGUUUCUUAUACCGAACAACUAAUUAAUUUACUGAAAAAUGAAAGAGUCCAUUUUCAAAUUCUGCCUAGGGCCUCGGAAAUCUGAGAACCUGGCCGGUUUGCGGCUCACAAUUCCUCCACAAACACACGUUUAUAUUGGGGUCUCACAGUAAUAUACCCAUAUGAAAAGCGAUCAGGGAAUUAACUUCAGCAUAGAGUACCAGACUUCUCACACGACUAUAUGACCAAAGAUCAGGUCUCCGACCCUUGGCUACUUUGAAACAACACAUUUCACACUGAAAAGAAAAGCGCUUAACGAUGCCAUAGUCUGUACACGCAUGGUAGUAAUUGCAAACGAUCGAUCCACACAUAGUAGAUGUGUAGUUACGCAGAUAGUUGGUACAGUAUUUUAUGUGACGAUGAACAGGAAACUAUCAAUGAUUUUUCAAAUUUCAAACAGUAGUUACCUUGAAAGGGAAUUUCACCGGCUUCAAUGAGUUUGGGGCCACAAAAGAAGGCCCAAAAGGCACAAGCGCUGUUGGUCCAGAAAAUGAUGACCGGGAUCCCAACCUCUUCACCGACGUCAAUGGCGAAACUCAAUGUCCCAUCGGCUAUGAUGCAAGAUGCCCGCUUUCGACCUGAGCCCGAAUCCUUUCCUCCAUCGGAUCCCAGCAGUUCUCUGAGAAGUGGUUUUGCCGUAACUCUGAACGAACGGAACUGCUCCAUGACUCUAUCACCCGAACGCAGGUCGUCUUCGGGCAACCCGUCCGGAAUGGCUUCGAAUCGGAACCCGGAGUAGCGGGUUAACCGCGAGAUCAGGGCGGUGCUGUUGCAGAGGAGACGGCGGUGAGUGAAGUGGGUGACUAGGAAGGUGACGUGGAGGCCGGCGUGGCAGAGGAGCUCGGCUAACUUGAGCAUGGGGUUGACGUGGCCCUGUGCCGGGUAAGGGAAGAUGAGCACGCGGGGAGGAGGGAGCUCUGUUUCUUGAUCAUCCAUGGCUUCAAGUACUUUUCGGAUCCCAAAAUUGGAUAUUUU